AAAGAAAGAGACACCCAUUGAUGUUAAAUGAGGACUAGAUAAAAACAAUUCAUUACACCAAAUUUUGCUUUUACGGCAAUUUUUUAGUGGCAGCAAACUAAUUGCUGGUAUUUCCUCAAACAUUUAUGGCAAUUACACAAAUAUCCAUUAAGAAGACCAUUUAUAGUGGCAAUUAUGAAUUGCUGGUAAAAAAUUGUACAGUCACUGAUAGCAUUAAAUCAUCUUUUUUAAUAUGUUAACUUUCACAGCCCCUUUGCUCCUUUUGGUGCGCUCGUUCACUAAGAACUCGUCUCUUCAUUUCGCUUAUGCGUUUCAGUCUCGUCAUCAUUUCUUAGUCUCUAACCUGUUCAUUUCGCUUUUGCGUUUCUUCUUCUCUGAUUAAUUGAGUCGUUAUUCCUCUGUCUCCGAUCAGUAUCGUCUUUUCGUUGCCGAUUGAUCUCGUCGUCUUUUCGUCUUCGAUCGAUCUUCAUUAUCUCAUAUCCUCUCUCUCUCUCUCUCUUCAAAGCCACAAUGGAUGUGUUCGCUUUGGUCUUCAAUUCCCGAUCCUCUUUGAGAAUUUUUAGAAGAGGGAUGAAUCUACAUAAGCCUUUUAUUUGUUCGUCGUUCAGUGAUUCGAUUUUCAAUCUUACUCAUUAUUGAUUUAUUUAGCUAUUAUAAUUAAUCGGUGGGAUGUGUCAAUUGCAUUACAAAGUACAUUUAUUGAUUAUUUUGAUCAUUUUGUUGACUGUGUAUAUAUGGAACAAAGGAUGUAGAGUGUGCACAAAAAAUUUGUUACACCAUUGAUGUUCUCUAGUGUGUAUAAGAGGUAAGAAAGGGGGGAUAGAACACUGUAACGUGGUACAACACCCAGAGAGAGUGAGAGAGAUUUGAAUAUUGGUUGGAAAUCAAAGAUAAAUGCUAUCAUUAGCCAGAAGUAUGUCAUAUUAUGCCUGCAUUGCUAUCUUCCAUUGUGAAUCAACUAAAGCUUGUUUAGAACUUAGAAGUAGUAGGUUCAGCUUUUUCUAGGAAAAUGAUGGAAUUUGUUUGAAACUCCAGACUUGGAUCUGGUUUGCGUAGGACGAGAAGGAACACGAGAUAAUGAUGACUUUAAGGGUGAUAACUUGGUAUCUCUAGGUGAAGAUGAUUUUCGUGUUAAUCUCUAUAUUACUUUAUCUAAACUUUGUUAAAUGUAAUUUAUGAUAACUUUAUGUGUUGAUUUGGAUAGGGAUACUCUUUUUAUUAUCAUGAUUAUUUGGUUCGGUAAGAGCCAACUAUUAUAAAUUGAUUAUUGAUUGGUACUUUAAAUGAACUUUGUUAUUUGGUUGGGUAAGAGCCAACUAUUAUAAAUUGAUUAUUGAUUGGUA